AAAGAUGUCCUGUGCCUGUCUCCUUCAGUUUUCAGUAGUUGAAGGUGAAGUUCGUUCAUUGUUUGUUUAUCCUUUAUUUUAUCGCAUCAUCAAGUUGAUGAUAAUUUUUGAUUGCUGAAGGUCUUAAAUUAAGACGAAGGUGGGAAUAGAACUGCAGAUACAUAUUAUACUAAAAUCCACCAUGACAGAUGAAUAUGAUGCCAAGGAUUAGAUUUGAAAAAAGUUCUUCUCUCUACAUUUGAUGAAAGCCAUUUUCAGCAAACGUGGGAAUAGAACUGCAGACGCAUAUACUAAAAUCCACCAUGACAGACGAAUAUGCUGCCAACUACAGUUUUAGAUUUAAAACUCCUUUCUACAUCUGAUGGAAACCAUUUUCAGACCAAGAGUAGAGAGACUACGCCUCAUGAAGCUCAAAUCGAGGACGAUAGCAGUUCAAAGUAAAAAUAUAUACUUAGUUAUAAAUUGAAAGUUCAAUUUUUGUAAUAUUUAAUAAAAAUCAUUGCAUUUUAUUGAAAAUAAUGCUUUCUUAUUUACAUUUUUCGCUCAUAUAGUAAAUACUCUGAAGUUAAGCUUUAAAGAAAAUAAACUAAUAUAGAUAUUAAUAUAUAAUAUUUAAUAUUUUAAUAGAUAUUCAAAGUAAUAAUUGAUGUGUUACU